CUUUCUGCGUCUUUAGUCAGAGUACGCUGUUUACCUGGUUGGCUGCCUCUCUUAUUUGGUCCCUUGGUGGCAGGGGCUAAUGGCUCUAUAUAAGACAUGCGCAUUCAUCUACCAACGACAUCUGUGCAGAGCAUGGAACAGCGUAGGUUUGUAAUUGCUCGCUACCCUGAGCUAGGGAAAAUGAACUUCUGACAUUUUGGAGGAAACAGACUUAGCUUCUUUGGUAAGGAACUGCAUACACAGUGGAGAAGAAGACAGAAAAGGCUGUGGCCUGAUGAAGCUUACAUUCAGACAGACAACUCACAAUUCUGAUGACUGGAAAGUCCAAGAUCAUGGC